rnacentral:rRNA from 1 species
GGUGACCUCGAUCAGGUAGGGAUACCCGCU